CCAUGGACCCAAUGCCAAUAUCAAACCGUACAUAAAUAUCAUCCAAUCCACUCAACAAGUAUCAAUCUAAAUCUUCAAGUAUUGACUAACUUAAGAGGAACCCACUAAAAGACACCAAAUUUAACAUGAGAAAUGAUUAUUUACUUUCUUCCCAAACCCCAAAAUAUCUGGAUUCAAUAUUCUGAAACCAAUAAUAGAAUUUGCACAUACUCAGGGUGGCUUUACAAUUUAUAAAACCAAUGCCCAGUGCAAAUACUACCGGAAGAAAUUCAUAAAUAACAAAUGCUCCUAAGAAAAUCAAUUAAACAGUUCACGACUACGAACAUUUAAAAAAUUACCCAAGUCUGAAACCAGACGAUAGAACGGAAUUGUACAAAGAUUCAGACAAUAAUGAUAAGAACAUGUUACCACUAGCAAAGCAAAACCCAACGGCAUAAAUUUGUAACAAAAUGUGAUCUUUUUACCCAUUUCAAAGAAGUUGAAUUUGCAGUUAUUUUGCACAUUAGGGUUUGGUGACUUAAAGUUUGGUUGAAUGGAAAUGUAGAGAGGGAAGGGAGAGACGGUUGCCGAGAAGAGCAAUGCAAGGUUACGAAAUAGAGGAAGGGAG
rnacentral:lncRNA from 1 species